rnacentral:rRNA from 1 species
GACGAACGCUGGCGGCGUGCUUAACACAUGCAAGUCGAACGGAAAGGCCCUGCUUUUGUGGGGUGCUCGAGUGGCGAACGGGUGAGUAACACGUGAGUAACCUGCCCUUGACUUUGGGAUAACUUCAGGAAACUGGGGCUAAUACCGGAUAGGAGCUCCUGCUGCAUGGCGGGGGUUGGAAAGUUUCGGCGGUUGGGGAUGGACUCGCGGCUUAUCAGCUUGUUGGUGGGGUAGUGGCUUACCAAGGCUUUGACGGGUAGCCGGCCUGAGAGGGUGACCGGCCACAUUGGGACUGAGAUACGGCCCAGACUCCUACGGGAGGCAGCAGUGGGGAAUAUUGCACAAUGGGCGGAAGCCUGAUGCAGCAACGCCGCGUGCGGGAUGACGGCCUUCGGGUUGUAAACCGCUUUCGCCCGUGACGAAGCGUGAGUGACGGUAAUGGGUAAAGAAGCACCGGCUAACUACGUGCCAGCAGCCGCGGUGAUACGUAGGGUGCGAGCGUUGUCCGGAUUUAUUGGGCGUAAAGGGCUCGUAGGUGGUUGAUCGCGUCGGAAGUGUAAUCUUGGGGCUUAACCCUGAGCGUGCUUUCGAUACGGGUUGACUUGAGGAAGGUAGGGGAGAAUGGAAUUCCUGGUGGAGCGGUGGAAUGCGCAGAUAUCAGGAGGAACACCAGUGGCGAAGGCGGUUCUCUGGGCCUUUCCUGACGCUGAGGAGCGAAAGCGUGGGGAGCGAACAGGCUUAGAUACCCUGGUAGUCCACGCUGUAAACGGUGGGUACUAGGUGUGGGGUCCAUUCCACGGGUUCCGUGCCGUAGCUAACGCUUUAAGUACCCCGCCUGGGGAGUACGGCCGCAAGGCUAAAACUCAAAGGAAUUGACGGGGCCCCGCACAAGCGGCGGAGCAUGCGGAUUAAUUCGAUGCAACGCGUAGAACCUUACCUGGGUUUGACAUGGAUCGGGAGCGCUCAGAGAUGGGUGUGCCUCUUUUGGGGUCGGUUCACAGGUGGUGCAUGGCUGUCGUCAGCUCGUGUCGUGAGAUGUUGGGUUAAGUCCCGCAACGAGCGCAACCCUUGUUCACUGUUGCCAGCACGUUAUGGUGGGGACUCAGUGGAGACCGCCGGGGUCAACUCGGAGGAAGGUGGGGAUGACGUCAAGUCAUCAUGCCCCUUAUGUCCAGGGCUUCACGCAUGCUACAAUGGCUGGUACAGAGAGUGGCGAGCCUGUGAGGGUGAGUGAAUCUCGGAAAGCCGGUCUCAGUUCGGAUUGGGGUCUGCAACUCGACCUCAUGAAGUCGGAGUCGCUAGUAAUCGCAGAUCAGCAACGCUGCGGUGAAUACGUUCCCGGGGCU